UACAGAGGUCUCAAGCGUUGUUCGGAUUCAUUGGGCGUAAAGGGUGUGUAGGUGGCGCCGUAAGUCGGGUGUGAAAGUCGGGGGCUCAACCCUCGGAUGCCGGUGGAUACUGUCGGGCUUGAGUACGGAAGAGGCGAGUGGAAUUCCUGGUGUAGCGGUGAAAUGCGCAGAUAUCAGGAGGAACACCAAUUGCGAAGGCAGCUCGCUGGGACGUUACUGACGCUGAGACGCGAAAGCGUGGGGAGCAAACAGG
rnacentral:rRNA from 1 species